UAAAAUUUUUUCUACUUAACAUUAAUGUUGCUAAUUGCAUAACUCUUUACUGUGCUCUGAUAGUUUAUUUAGUAAUAUAAAGAUUAGUCAUGAUAUGAUAUACACUUACAACAACAGAACGAUAUAACCAUGGCCUGUGCACUGGAAUAGGAGAAGUUCGGGACGAUUUUCAACGCCAUCUCUGUUACUGGCUCACAUCUAAAAGCUUACUUUUUGGUGUUUUAUUUUUAAAUGUUUGUCAAUCUGAAUUCUAAAACUAAGUUGCAAUCGAGAAAGAACCAAGAUUAUUGAAUGCACAACGUCAAUCUUCCAAACGUGUUUGACAUUGUUUGUUUAUUAUCUAUUUGCAUUUUUGUGAAUUUGAAAGUUAUUAUUUGUUGCGAAUUGUGCUGUCGUGUUUACUUAGUCAAUAUGAGUAAACGAGUAAAGGCCUGCUGUGUACCAGGAUGCACGAAUAAGUAAGCGAUAAGACAUUCCAUUCCUACGAAUGAAGACGUUUGCAGAAUUUGGUUGCAAAGAAUAAAUAACCCCAAGUUAUACAGCAGAUAUAGUAUUAUCAUAACAUAGAAUAUGUAAUAUUCAUUUUGAACCAAUUUGUAGAAACCCCAAUGGCAGGUUAAAAAACUUUCACUGCCAACUCUACAUUUACCUGGUCAAAGAUCAACAAUAUGAAGACUAUGAUGUGAUGAAUAUGGUAUAUGUUAAAUAUAAAAAAAGCUACAAGAAAGACAACGGUAAUCAUUAAUUAUCCAUGUUUAUAAAAUCAGUUUUUUAUAUACCAUUGGAUGUACCAUGUACAAACAGAAACAUUUUUCAAACACGCCAACAUCUCACUGUUGACAGUCCUAAGCAUGCUAAAGUGCGAAGGAAAAUUUUUUGUUUGUGGAUAUAGUUAUAAAAUGUCAAUAACGAAAUAAAAAUUAUAAUAAUCA